rnacentral:rRNA from 1 species
CUUCCGUAGGGGAACCUGCGGAAGGAUCAUUAUUGAAACCAUUGUGAAGGAGGUUGAGCUGGCUCUUCUAGAGCAUGUGCUUGCUUUCUUUCAAUAUUCAUCCACCUGUGCACUUCUUGUAGAGGAUCUGGAAUGGGCGCAAGCCUUAGUACAGUUCUUCUAUGUCUUUACACACACUUAAUGUAUGUCUAGAAUGUUGUUUAAUUGGGUACUUAACUGGCCCUUUAAAACUAUACAACUUUCAGCAACGGAUCUCUUGGCUCUCGCAUCGAUGAAGAACGCAGCGAAAUGCGAUAAGUAAUGUGAAUUGCAGAAUUCAGUGAAUCAUCGAAUCUUUGAACGCACCUUGCGCCUCUUGGUAUUCCGAGAGGCAUGCCUGUUUGAGUGUCAUUAAAUUCUCAACCUCAAAAGCUUUUGCUUAUUGAGUGCUUGGAUGUGAGGGCUGCUGGCUUUGAAUAAGAGUCGGCUCCCUUUAAAUGCAUUAGUGGAAACCUUGUGUAGGCCACAUUGGUGUGAUAAUUAUCUACGCCAUUGGCAUUGUGUCUACAGUCGGAGUGGUUUAACGAUCACUACGGUUUGGAGGGCUGCAGUUUGUAAUGAAUUGCUCUCUCUGUCGAAGGUAUCUGCUUCAAACUGUCCUAAGUUAUUGGACAAUAUUUGAACUGUUUGACCUCAAAUCAGGUAGGACUACCCGCUGAACUUAAGCAUAUCAAUAAGCCGGAGGAAAC